GACGAACGCUGGCGGCGUGCUUAACACAUGCAAGUCGAACGGAAAGGCCCUGCUUGCAGGGUACUCGAGUGGCGAACGGGUGAGUAACACGUGGGUGAUCUGCCCUGCACUUCGGGAUAAGCCUGGGAAACUGGGUCUAAUACCGGAUAGGAGCCAUUUUUAGUGUGAUGGUUGGAAAGUUUUUUCGGUGUAGGAUGAGCUCGCGGCCUAUCAGCUUGUUGGUGGGGUAAUGGCCUACCAAGGCGGCGACGGGUAGCCGGCCUGAGUGGGUGGACGGCCACAUUGGGACUGAGAGACGGCCCAGGCUCCUAAGGGAGGCAGCAGUGGGGAAUAUUGCACGAUGGGCGCAAGCCUGAUGCAGCGACGCCGCGUGGGGGAUGACGGCCUUCGGGUUGUAAACUCCUUUCGCUAGGGACGAAGCUUUUUGUGACGGUACCUAGAUAAGAAGCACCGGCUAACUACGUG
rnacentral:rRNA from 1 species